GAUGAACGCUGGCGGCGUGCUUAACACAUGCAAGUCGAACGGAAAGACGCGGAGGUUGCUUGUCGGACGUUAGCCGCGGGCGUGUGAGAAACGCGUGUAUCACGUGCCUGUCAGUAUGGGAUCACUAGGGGAAACCGGAGCUAAUACGGUAUAAGAUAUUGAACCGCGUGGGGAGAUGGAAAAUGUCGGCUUUGGCGUCUGGAAUAGCUGGUUUCGCGCUGGAUUAUGUGGUUGGUAGGGUCAAAGCCUAUCAAGGCAACGAGGCGUAGCCGGCCUGAGAGGGUGAUCGGCCACACGGGAACUGAGACACGGCCCAGACUCCUACGGGAGGCAGCAGUGGGGAAUCUUAGGCAAUGGGCGAAAGCUUGACGCAGCAAGGCCGCGUGAGUGAAGAAGGUCUUCGGAUCGUAAACCUCUGUUAUUAGGAACGAACAGAUGUGUAAUAAGACCUGGAGGUAUUGACGGUACCUGAUCAAAAAGCCCCGGCUAACUACGUG
rnacentral:rRNA from 1 species